rnacentral:lncRNA from 1 species
AGACAGACAGAGCGGGAGGGAGGAGGGCGGCGGAGGAGGAGCAGGAGGACUACGCGGGGCGCCUUCCCUCCCAGGUUUGCAAUUGGGGGGGUUGGGGGCGGGGGUGUCCAGGGCUGUGAGAGUGUGUGCGCGGCUGGGGGAGCGAGUGGGGCUCAGAUAGCGAAGGAGUGAUCGUGGUGGGGGGGCGCCGCGGGAGCGGGGGGCCGUGUCCAGCGGAGUUAGCGGCGGAGAAUGUGAGCCGAGGCGCGAGCCAUGCUGUCAGCGACGGCAGGCGGCUCAGGGCUCCUCUACGACUCCUCUUCCCAGCAGCCGGGCGCCCGCGUCGCUGCCGCUGGCGGAAGAUAGACGCCCCCCGAAACCCCUCGCCUGGCUCGGACCCCGGAGCCGGCAGCCCAGCACUCCGAUGGGAGCUUGCCUGAUCGUCUCCUCAUCGGCCUGGACUCCAGAGCCAACCCAGCUGAGUGUGUGCAGAGAGUCCCAGGUGAGGGGCACCGCUCAGGACUCAGCAGAGACCACCCCGGAGAAGCUGAUGCUGGUGGAGACAGACCUGUCCUACUGAGCCAGGCCUCUGCAAAGCCUGCUCAGGCGCUGUCCACACCCCAAGGCCUGGGCUCAGGCCGAAGUGGCCCCACAACACCCCCAGCUGACAACCAGCGACUGGCAGAGUCCCCAAGCACGGGGGCCCUCUGUUUACCAGAGAUAACCAGUGUGACAGCCCAGGCGGCAGAGCCGAGGGUGAGUGCACCUUGGGGAAUGGGGAUGAGAAGGAAAGAUGCUAAUGAGUCAGUUUCAUGUGGUAUGGCCAUCUUGUCCUGCUGUUGGGCCUCUCUCUCCAAGACAGUGAUGCUAUCUAUCCUCUUGGACCCUAUAGACUAUCGAAGUGUAUGUAUACCCGAUUGAAGACCUGCAAGUGAUUUGGGCUUGGGCCAGGGGCUGGAACACAGAGGAACAAUGGAAGCAUAGAGAAAGGGCUCAU